rnacentral:rRNA from 1 species
GAUGAACGCUGGCGGCGUGCUUAACACAUGCAAGUCGAACGAAGCACUUUAUUUGAUUUCCUUCGGGACUGAUUAUUUUGUGACUGAGUGGCGGACGGGUGAGUAACGCGUGGGUAACCUGCCUUGUACAGGGGGAUAACAGUUGGAAACGGCUGCUAAUACCGCAUAAGCGCACGGCCUCGCAUGAUGCAGUGUGAAAAACUCCGGUGGUAUAAGAUGGACCCGCGUUGGAUUAGCUAGUUGGUGAGGUAACGGCCCACCAAGGCGACGAUCCAUAGCCGACCAGAGAGAGUGACCGGCCACAUUGGGACUGAGACACGGCCCAAACUCCUACGGGAGGCAGCAGUGGGGAAUAUUGCAAAAUGGGCGAAAGCCUGAUGCAGCGACGCCGCGUGAGCGAAGAAGUAUGUCGGUAUGUAAAGCUCUAUCAGCAGGGAAGAUAAUGACGGUACCUGACUAAGAAGCACCGGCUAAAUACGUG